UGGGGAAUAUUGCACAAUGGGGGAAACCCGGAUGCAGCGACGCCGCGUGAGCGAAGAAGGUUUUCGAAUCGUAAAGCUCUGUCCUAUGGGAAGAUAAUGACGGUACCAUAGGAGGAAGCCCCGGCUAACUACGUGCCAGCAGCCGCGGUAAUACGUAGGGGGCAAGCGUUGUCCGGAAUCACUGGGCGUAAAGGGUUCGCAGGCGGAAAUGCAAGUCAGUUGUGAAAGGCAGAGGCUCAACCUCUGUAAGCAAUUGAAACUGUAUUUCUUGAGAUGUGGAGAGGCAAGUGGAAUUCCUAGUGUAGCGGUGAAAUGCGUAGAUAUUAGGAAGAAUACCGGUGGCGAAGGCGACUUGCUGGACACAAACUGACGCUGAGGAACGAAAGCGUGGGUAGCAAACAGG
rnacentral:rRNA from 1 species